rnacentral:rRNA from 1 species
AUUGAACGCUGGCGGCAUGCCUUACACAUGCAAGUCGAACGGCAGCACGGGUGCUUGCACCUGGUGGCGAGUGGCGAACGGGUGAGUAAUACAUCGGAACGUACCUUAUCGUGGGGGAUAACGCAGCGAAAGCUGUGCUAAUACCGCAUACGCCCUGAGGGGGAAAGCGGGGGAUCGCAAGACCUCGCGCGAUUAGAGCGGCCGAUGCCUGAUUAGCUAGUUGGUGGGGUAAAAGCCCACCAAGGCGACGAUCAGUAGCUGGUCUGAGAGGACGAUCAGCCACAAUGGGACUGAGACACGGCCCAGACUCCUACGUGAGGGAGCAGUGGGGAAUUUUGGGCGAUGGGGGCAACCCUGAUCCAGCAAUGCCGCGUGAGUGAAGAAGGCCUUCGGGUUGUAAAGCUCUUUUGUCAGGGAAGAAACACCGGCUCUAACACAGUCCGGGAAUGACGGUACCUGAAGAAUAAGCACCGGCUAACUACGUGCCAGCCGCCGCCGUAA